CCUGAUGAUCUUUUGAAAGGAGUAAGAGUUCACAAAUGGAACUAUGAUGAGAAGAUAAAAUAUUAUUUUUCAAAGGAUGCUGAGGAAUUCUGGAAAUGAGACUCCCACUCCUUGGUGUUUGGUGACCUGCCACUGGGAAUGAAGUUUGAGUACUGAAGACAACAUCUAUCAAAUUUAAGUCUCCUAUAUGAAGACAACUCUAGUCUAGCC